AAUCAAAAGGGUUACUACUCACUAGCCGACUACAUCACUAUCCAUCAACCAUUCAAGGCAAACUCUUCUUCUUUUUGGUUCCUCCAACCAACACGCCUGGCUGAUCUCAAACUGUGUCGAAGAUCAUCAGUCCUGCCAACACGACGAUGAAGGUAAACCCUACUGGUUCCUUUCACUUCAAGAACAUCAAUCGUUCUAUUCCUCUUGACCUAAUGUACAACUAAUAAAAUCUUAAUUCAUGAAAAACCAAACGACAGGGUUUGUUUCAGCUUUGGUGUUGUUCAACUGUAUUUCAUAUGUAGGUUUGAUUAAAACGUUCUUUAAACCAUUGAAUGAUAGGUUUCAAACAACUGGUACUUGAAACGGAAGUUGCAAUGUUUGUCAUGAAAUGUACUACUAUUGUUUAUUCCGAUCAGCUGCAUGCCUGUAAAAUUUAAAUCAAUUUUUUCAGUGGUUUGAAGAAACCCUAGUUGAUAUUUUUGGGUAUUUUUAUGAUUAUCCUAAACCGUUUGGUAGAAUGGAUCUCGUAUGUGUUGUUUAUCAUGUUAUUUGAGUUGAAACUUGUUUCGAAGAUGAACAUUAUUUUGCACUUGCGGCAUAUGACUUCGUUGAGGGACAAGGGUAAGAGACCGGCAACUAGCGAUCAGAAUAACCAUCAGAACUACAAACUAAGGUUUCUUAAGCCAGUAAUUAGGCCAGCAAUGUUCAAACUAGUAAAUCGCAUCCCUAUGAUAUGAACUUUGGGGUUUAUAAAUUAUCUGAUGCUAUCAAUGUUGUAAACAUGUAACAAUCGCUCCCGAUAACUCUGGAUGAGCUCCCAAACUGUACUCUAUACCUGAACCUUGUAGUCCCUGAUGGAAGGAACGCCCAUUUUCGGUGCUUCUGGACACCAAAUCAAAAUGGCAAAGUCGCAUUGACGCGUGGCUGGCCAGAUUUCUAUAGGAGGUACCAAAUCAAGCUGGACUCUAUGCUCUAUUUCAAACACAAAGGAAACUCUGAUUUCCAGGUCCAAAUCUUUGAUUUCGGUGGCAUUGAGAAUUCAUACCAACCCCGACCUCCGAAAGAACAGCUAUAUGAAAGGAAAGGUAAAUUCGAAACCGCAAAAUGUAUCAACAAGCCUUCUUCAGUGAAGGCUAAAGACGUUGCCGCAAGUGUAUCCUCCAAGUGGCCCUUCUUUGUGAUGGAACUUACUGGGCCCAAGCUGUCUUCUCGAUUGUUGCCCAAUGUCCCGCAUCUUAGUCUCUUCACUGCUCAGAGGCACCUUUUCCUCCUUACCCACAGCCACAUAGAGGUUGAAACCACAUACACAAGAUAUAGUGGAAAAAGAGAUGGUAGCUUCGGGGUUAUUUUUGGAGGGUGCGAAACAUUUGCUUCAUUGUGCAACUUUAAGCCGGGUGGUGUAGGUGUCUUCGAGGUCAUCUUUGUUGAUCUGAUGACGAUCAUCCAGGUUCGAUGCAGAUAGGAUGCUACAGGAUGAGGAGCAUAAGGCAUUAUGUCCCUGUAUUUGAAAUAUGUUUGCAUAUAUGUUGCUAAGACUUUCAGUUUGGUAGUAGGAAGAAAUUAACAAAUAUGUCCUCUUGUUGCAUGUUGUUCUUUUUUAUUUUUGUGACUUUUUUUGAAAACAUUUAUGGCUCUUACACUAGCCAUAAAAUACUCUAUUGACUUCGUACUGUUGCACACCCUAAAGCUUCAAGGUUAUUCUCUCGUUAGUCAUUACUAUUGGUAUCAACUGUUAAGUUGUGUAGACUUUUUUUAAUAUUUAAGCUCCAUUAGCUUGAUUCCUUAAGGGAACAAAUAAUCUUCAUUGUUUUGAUGUCAUUUCUAGGUGUAAAUUGUAAAUAUAAUUCCAAAAAUACAGUUAGAUAAAUAUUUUUUUUUUGAACAUGGGUAACAUGAAAGUUUAAAAAGUUCAAGAAAAACAUUUGUUAGCAGAUCCCCAUUUGGAUUUAGAGAGAUGGAGUGGGCCAUUGUUUAAGUAUUUGUUUUCCUACAUCAAGGGUUCGGACGUUUAGUUUUAUUGGGCUUAUACUACUUCAAAGUUGAGCGGAAGAUGUGGUGUGGUCUUAUGGGGUUGGGCUUGGGCUUCGGUUCGGGUAGGAAUAUUUUUGUCUUGGCCCAGGAAAUGGAAAACAAAAGGGGUGAGGCAAGAAGGCAUCCAGAACAAGUAAGAAUUAAUGAAAACCCUAAACCCGAAUUCAUCACACACAGAACCAGAAUUGUCGAACAAUUCAUUCGUGUCAUACGUUCCGGUCUUCAUCUGAUCUGAGUUCCCACGGACCCUACACACCUUCGGAUAAGGUGGAAGAAUUCCUGACCGUUGAAGAUGGCGAGUACCCUUCAGGGGUCCAACUUAGUCUCUUCUCUUAAGGAAUAACGCAAAGAACAUUUUAACACAAAGGAGCAGCUCCAACUUCUUUGAGUUAGAUCCUUUUUCCCUGCAUGCAACUCCUUCUCAAGAAUGGGUUCGUAUCCUAAUAAUUUUUGUUAUGCAAAAUGUUAUUAUCAAAAUGAAUAAUUUUUUGGGUUUUGUAUUAUAUCUAAUAGUUUGUAGACAAAAAACAAUGUAAUCAGUAAUAGUCCAUACGUAUUUCAGACAAUGUUGUUCAAUUUUCUUUCUCGCUUGUUAGUAAUUAGUUAAGUACGUGUUGCCAAGAAAACGGAGAAAGAAAGAUGAUGCUAGUGUUUGGUUGCGUGUAGGUUGGCACAAAGUUGUCUAGUUAUUGGGGUUAAAGCAUGGGUAUGGUUUUUAAGUGUAACGGUGGCUCGAAAUUUAGGUUCCUAGUGAGCCGUUCAAGUGACUCGGAGAUUUAUUAUUCGAGUUUGACAAGUUUCCAUGACGAUCACCACCAUGUGGGAAAUAAUUUUCCAAUUCAUACGGGGUGAACAUUAUGGAAACUUCUCAAACUUGAGUAAUCAAUCUCUGAAGCACUCAAACGGAUCCCCAGGAACUUAAAUUUCGAUUCACCAUUAUACUUAAAAAUCACAAAAUACUCAUGCUUUGAUCCCAAUAACUUGAAAACUCAGUACCGACAUGCAUUCAACCAAACACUGUCAUCUUCUUUCUUGCUCCAUUUUACCUAUAAUCCAUCCCCGGCUGGAACCUCCGUUGCUAUCGAAUAUGGUAGUCCUUUCCAGUCUCUCUUUAAGAAAAUACAAUGAGGAAGAAUGAAGUCGGGAACAAUACUAAACUAAUUAUUAACAAUUGACAGAAGAAAUAUGAAUGCAUCACAUUUAAAUGGAUACGAUUGCUAACAUAUAAGGAUGAUGGAAUGGUAUUUAUAUUGUUAAUUCACUAUACACUGCUCUUGCUUCCAGCAUUGCUUACUAAGCAUGAUAUGCUAAAUAUAAAUUAUAACAUCUUUUUAAUGUGCAAGAGACGAUUGUGGGUUUUGGGUGACUAAGUCAACGAGGGGCAGUGCCAACGGGUGGAUGACUACAUAAUGCACGUAAAUGAAACGACAAGGUUGCGGCAGGUUCAUGAACACAUCAUGAAAAUGUUCAACCUGAAAUCCCAUGAAGUGCUUCAGGAUUCAAACUCAUACUUUAGUGAAAUAUCUGAACAAGAAGAAGGAUUGGUUAAUGUGAAAGGAAAUCUACUUUGAGUUCCAGCUACGGCCUUCAUAUAAGUUGUAAUUUGCUGGGAUUUGAUCAAACCUAAUGCGUUGAAUAAUUCUUUCAGACAGUUUGAUUGUUUAUGCUACAAUUUUUAAGAUGUUACUUCAUUGUUGAACUAUUUUUUUACACAAAACAGUACUGCAAAUGUUAUCUUGCGAAUGUCCUGUUGUUAUUUAACAGAACAACAAAGUGUAAUGCAUAACACUUCAAAAUGAAAAAUGAAUUCCAACAUUUGGAUGAUUUGAAUAUG